rnacentral:misc_RNA from 1 species
UCCCUACCCAUUCAGAGGGUUCUUUUGCUUCUCGGCUUUCGGAACGAUAGGUCGUUGUUUCAUGACGAGUGCGUUGAUCAUUUUUAUAUUCAAAGUAAUGGUUGUUUGCUUGGUUAAUUAAAAUUGUAAUUCUCGGUCAUUAUUUUCGAUUAAGUUAGUGGAUAAGGUUAAUUUUUGUGAUAAUUGUUAUAUUUGUAAAAAUGAGUAAUAAAUAGAAGUUAAGUGUGCGG